UACGUAGGGGGCAAGCGUUGUCCGGAAUCAUUGGGCGUAAAGCGCGUGUAGGCGGCCAGAAAAGUCCGCUGUGAAAACUCGAGGCUCAACUUCGAGCUGUCGGUGGAAACUUUCUGGCUAGAGUCCGGAAGAGGAGAUGAGUACUCGUGGUGUGAGCGGUGAAAUGCGCAGAUAUCAGGAAGAAUCACCCGUGGCGAAGGCGGUCUC
rnacentral:rRNA from 1 species